rnacentral:rRNA from 1 species
AUUGAACGCUGGCGGAAUGCUUUACACAUGCAAGUCGAACGGCAGCACGGGUGCUUGCACCUGGUGGCGAGUGGCGAACGGGUGAGUAAUGCAUCGGAACGUACCCAGUAAUGGGGGAUAACUAUCCGAAAGGAUAGCUAAUACCGCAUACGCCCUGAGGGGGAAAGCGGGGGAUCGUAAGACCUCGCGUUAUUGGAGCGGCCGAUGCCGGAUUAGCUAGAUGGUGGGGUAAAGGCCCACCAAGGCGACGAUCCGUGGCUGGUCUGAGAGGACGACCAGCCACACUGGAACUGAGACACGGUCCAGACUCCUACGGGAGGCAGCAGUGGGGAAUUUUGGACAAUGGGCGAAAGCCUGAUCCAGCCAUUCCGCGUGAGUGAAGAAGGCCUUCGGGUUGUAAAGCUCUUUCGCAAGGAAAGAAAUCUUACCCUCUAACAUAGGGUGAUGAUGACGGUACCUUGAUAAGAAGCACCGGCUAACUACGUGCCAGCAGCCGCGGUAA